rnacentral:rRNA from 1 species
GAUGAACGCUAGCGUACAGGCUUAACACAUGCAAGUCGAGGGCAGCGAUGGUCUUAGCUUGCUAAGGCCGAUGGCGACCGGCGCACGGGUGAGUAACGCGUAUCCAACCUGCCUUACACUCUUGGACAGCCUUCUGAAAGGGAGAUUAAUACAAGAUGUUAUCAUGAGUAAGCAUUUUCACAUGAUUAAAGGUCUACCGGUGUAAGAUGGGGAUGCGUUCCAUUAGAUAGUAGGCGGGGUAACGGCCCACCUAGUCUUCGAUGGAUAGGGGUUCUGAGAGGAAGGUCCCCCACAUUGGAACUGAGACACGGUCCAA